rnacentral:misc_RNA from 1 species
UGAUUAUAUUUAUUGAAGAUAGUGGAAGAUGACAUACUCGUGGAUGUAGCCUUACGUUGAGGGGUGAACCACGUAAAUAUUAUUGUUUUGUAUGUUUUCUUUAUUUCUUUGUAGUUUACAUAUUUCCGCGGUGCACAACACUUCCCAGAGCCAUUUGCCAUUCUGUUUGCUUCCACUUUGGUUUUGUUCAUCUUUAGUUUAAUAGGUUGCCUACAUUUUUGUCUUGUAUUUGUCAUUUUACUGACAAUUCUAUGCAAAAGUAGAAUGAUUGUAUCAGUUGCAUUUGUACCAGGGGCCAGCACCGUCUUUCUUGCAAAGUGAUACGUCGCCCUUCAUCAAAAACUGGAGGG